UAAGGGCACGAUCAUUGUCACAGUCCGUCCCGAAUAACUAAUUUUCGAUGACGCGAAAUGAUAAUUUUACCUUUGGAUGUUAAGUGUAUGGUGUGAUUUAAGUUGGAUUUGGACCCAUUUAUUAUUUUCCCUAAGUUUUUGGACCCAAUUGGAAGUAAGGGAAUUGUUGGUUUUGAUUGGUGGCUUUUGGACCACACACAUACCUUAUCUUUCUUUCUAUCCUGUGGACUUCUCUCUCUCUCCCUCUCGGUUCACACACACUCUCUCUCUUCGAACUCAUACGGACACACAUAAACAAACCCAAAAUCUACACGGAUCGAAGGUUUUGAGGUCUCCAGUGUGUUCCUAGGAUCCUUACGAGUCAAGUGGUACCCAUUUUCAGCAAGGAAACCUUCGAGAAACCUUAGUUUGAAAGAGAGUCGUGGGUGUACAGUACACCAAACCAGUUCGUGGAGGUUUCAAGCCGUUCUAAGGCUCAAAAGGACCACAGUGAGCUCAAGGAGGUCCUCACAAUGCUCGGAGUGCAUCGUUGGUAGGAUUUGGACCACGUGAAGCUCAAAAACAGAGCUUUGCAAAGGUUACUGGAGUUCGAUGACUUCUCCAACGUAAUUUCACGUGAAUCGAGGCAUGAAAGAGCAAGGAAACCUUCGAGAAACCCUAGUUUGAAAGAGAGCCAUAGGUGUACAGUACACCAAACCAGUUCGUGGAGGUUUCAAGCCGUUCUAAGGCUCAAAAGGACCACAGUGAGCUCAAGGAAGUCCUCACAAUGCUCGGAGUGCAUCUUUGGUAGGAUUUGGACCAUGGGAAGCUCGAAAACGGAGCUUUGCAAAGGUCGCCGGAGUUCGAGGACUUCUCCAACGUAAUUUCACAUCGAGGCGUGAAAGAGGUGAGGCUUAUCCCGAGGAGGAGCGUAUCCACGGGCGACUCGGGGGUUACGACCCGUCG